ACAAGGAACACAGUACAAAAACGAACGUACGGCCCGAUGCUGAUCUUGACACGACAUAUAUAUAGAGAUUUUGUUCCGGCUGAAAGAAACACGUACAUCUCUACUAUCCCAUAUGAGCAGAGCGAGGGCGUCCACCACCAACCGUGCCCCCGCCCGGCCCCGCGCAUCCCGCUAAACAUGCCCCCGCCAGCCGGCCGCGCUCUUCGCUGCUCUCACCGUAGAUCCCGUCCGCGCCAAUGCUCUCUCCUCGCCAACGCCGCUCGAUCGCUCCGCGCUCUCCCUUGCUCACGCCCUCUACAUGGAAGGCAAGCCGGCACCGGAGCCCCGCUCUUCCCUGCUCUCGCGCUCUACAUGGAAGGCAAGCCGGCGCCCAAAUCGCUGCUCGCCCGCCCUCUACAUGGAAGGCAAGCCGGCGCCCAAAUCGCUGCUCGCCCGCCCUCUACAUGGAAGGCAAGCUGGCACCCAAAUCACUGCUCGCGGACGGGAUCUGCGUGCUCUCUCCUCGCCAACGCUGCUCGAUCCGCUCCGCGCUCCCCCUGCUCCCGCCCUCUACAUGGAAGAUGGAGUCGGUGCUGCUCAAGAUCCGCCUGCACAGCGACGGCUGCGCCGACCGCAUCAGGCGACGCAUCGGCAAGAUCGAAGGCGUCAAGGAUGUGGUGCUGGAGGCCAAUGCCAAGGACGAGGUGGAGGUCACGGGCACCAUGGACAUACCGAACAUGGUCUCCUACCUCACAACAGGGUCCAAGCUCUUGGCACAUGAUAUACGGGAUGGACUUAAACACUGACAAAGGUCUUCUUUUGGUGGCAGAUAACUUUGGUUUUCUUUACUUAGUCGAUUGACACGAGGAAGGCGAUCCGCCUGGGAGUGGUGUCGCCCUACAAGGGCCAGGUCCGGCCAUCGAGGAGAAGCUUGGCAAGCAGGUGUACUCGAUGCACGAUGGGUCGUUCUCGGUGAAGGUGCGGACCGUGGACGGGUUCCAGGGCGCGGAGGAGGACGUGAUCAUCUUCUCCACCGUGCGGAGUAACACCGCCGGCAAGAUUGGCUUCCUCGCCGACACCAACCGCACCAAUGUCGCGCUGACGCGGGCCAAACAUUGCCUGUGGAUCCUGGGCAACGUGAAGACGCUGGCGAGCGGCAAAACGAUAUGGCGGCAGAUCGUGGACGACGCAAGGAGAGGGGCUGUUUCUUGGACGCCAAGGACGACCAGGACCUCGCAUGCGCCAUAAUCAAGGCCUCCAUCGAGCUGGACGGAGUGGAGAAUCUACUCAAGUUUGACAUGCUGCGGAUCGGCGGCUCGAGAAGGUCCGGGGUAUGAUGGUAAACUCGACUCGCAAGCUCCGGGGUACCAACUACCAAGUUAGAAACACCAACUUUGGCCAAAGUCUGUGUGUCUUAAGUUUUGAACUAUCUUGCUUAUGAGGUGGUGAUGAUGAUUGUCUGAUUGAUCUAGAUCCCUUAAAUAAAUUUAACAUCGUAUGAAGAGAAGUAUGCUGUAUAUCCUUUGAGUAUUUUACUAUCGUAUCAUUGCUCUAUUCUAAUACUAAGCGAGACGGUAAAAGACUA